rnacentral:ncRNA from 1 species
GGUUCGUUUGCAUGGGGGUGCAAACGAGGUUAAUAGGGAUGGUUGGGCCGCCAUCU